AUUGAACGCUGGCGGCAGGCCUAACACAUGCAAGUCGGACGGUAGCACAGAGAGCUUGCUCUUGGGUGACGAGUGGCGGACGGGUGAGUAAUGUCUGGGGAUCUGCCCGAUAGAGGGGGAUAACCACUGGAAACGGUGGCUAAUACCGUAUAACGUCGCAAGACCAAAGAGGGGGACCUUCGGGCCUCUCACUAUCGGAUGAACCCAGAUGGGAUUAGCUAGUAGGCGGGGUAAUGGCCCACCUAGGCGACGAUCCCUAGCUGGUCUGAGAGGAUGACCAGCCACACUGGAACUGAGACACGGUCCAGACUCCUACGGGAGGCAGCAGUGGGGAAUAUUGCACAAUGGGCGCAAGCCUGAUGCAGCCAUGCCGCGUGUAUGAAGAAGGCCUUCGGGUUGUAAAGUACUUUCAGCGGGGAGGAAGGCGGUACGGUUAAUAACCGUACCGAUUGACGUUACCCGCAGAAGAAGCACCGGCUAACUCCGUGCCAGCCGCCGCCGUAA
rnacentral:rRNA from 1 species